AUUGAACGCUGGCGGCAGGCCUAACACACGCAAGUCGGACGGUAGCACAGAGGAGCUUGCUCCUUGGGUGACGAGUGGCGGACGGGUGAGUAAUGUCUGGGGAUCUGCCCGAUAGAGGGGGAUAACCACUGGAAACGGUGGCUAAUACCGCAUAACGUCGCAAGACCAAAGAGGGGGACCUUCGGGCCUCUCACUAUCGGAUGAACCCAGAUGGGAUUAGCUAGUAGGCGGGGUAAUGGCCCACCUAGGCGACGAUCCCUGGCUGGUCUGAGAGGAGGACCAGCCACACUGGAACUGAGACACGGUCCAGACUCCUACGGGAGGCAGCAGUGGGGAAUAUUGCACAAUGGGCGCAAGCCUGAUGCAGCCAUGCCGCGUGUAUGAAGAAGGCCUUCGGGUUGUAAAGUACUUUCAGCGGGGAGGAAGGCGGUGAGGUUAAUAACCUUGCCGAUUGACGUUACCCGCAGAAGAAGCACCGGCUAACUCCGUGCCAGCAGCCGCCGUAA
rnacentral:rRNA from 1 species